AAAAACAAUAUUAUCUUACUGGAAAUUGCACGCGUGUGGUUUUUUGAAAAAUGUUGAUAUCUCCACUGCCUGUAGAUAUCACAACGCUGCCUUUUCGGUCUUCGCCAAAUUCCCAGAUGGCGGCCCAUCCUCCCCCGAUGCACAAAACUAUACAAAGUAAAACAAGCUGACCCAUCCUGGCCGAAGCCGAGUCAAAACUAUAAUUUUUUUGUCUCAACUUUACCUAUUUUUAUACAUCGGUAUUGAAUCAAUUAAUCGGUUUGUUAUUUUACACACUCAAUUAAAGUUGUGAAAUUAUUUUCUUCUGUUUAUUCAUUAGUUAUGCUAAUAAAACCUAAUAUAUUUUUGUAAUCAAAAGAAGCGACAAGCACAAGACAUGUAUAUAAAACAAUAAUUACAUUCGCUUAUGAACAUAUUUAAAGAGAAGCAUUAGAUCGAGUAAAUUAUAAAUUAUAUUCGCCCAGAUUGCGACCCGUAAGAGUGUCGCGUUCCGGAGGCAAAUGUUUCAGAAGUAAACGCCGAAACAGCUGAACGGAUUUUGAUGAAAUUUGGCACACAGGUGCAAUAAGUUAACAAAGUCUGCGCGGUGCUUUAAGAACAGAUAGCAAGCGUGUGAUAAUAAAAAACAAAACUGCUUUAAAUAUUUUGUAAUUCCGAACAACAAGAACGAACACUAAAUAAUUUCCAAUUAAAAUUAAAAAAUAAAACUACUAUAAA